CCAGCCAUUUUUGGCAUUUUCGACUUGUGAAUACAUUACUAUGCAUUCGGGGCUUAAAACCUAGAUGAUGGGUUGGUGGGUGCAGCAAACCACCAUGGCACAUGUAUACCUAUGUAACAAACCUGCACAUUCUGCACGUUUCAGAAGUAAUCACUUUAGCAAUUUGACACUAAGUAACCACGUUAGCAAUUUGACACGUAUUCAUCCAAGUAUUUUUCUGUGUUUAUACAGAUACUAAAAAAAAAGCUUUACCCACGUAUCCCUUUUUGUUUGGA
rnacentral:lncRNA from 1 species